UGAGGUUACGCUAUAAAGGGCGCACGGAGGAUGCCUAGGCGCUAGGAGCCGAUGAAGGACGGGGCGAACACCGAAAUGCCUCGGGGAGCCGUAAGCGGGCUUUGAUCCGGGGAUGUCCGAAUGGGGGAACCCCCUAUGCGUAAUGGCAUAGGAUCUCGUACUGAAUCCAUAGGUGCGUGAAGGCAUACCAGGGGAACUGAAACAUCUAAGUACCCUGAGGAAAAGAAAUCAAUGAGGUUUUUACGCUAGUAAAAACCAUGAGAUUUCCUAAGUAGCGGCGAGCGAACGGGAAUCAGCCUAAACCGUUUUUCGAAACGGGGUUGCGGGGCGUCUCACUAAAGGAUGGAAGUUUUGUAGGAGAAGUGGCCUGGAACGGCCUACCAUAGAGGGUGAAAGUCCCGUAUCUCAAACGAAACAACCCCUGAGACUGUCCCCAAGUACCGCGGGACACGAGAAAUCCCGUGGGAAUCUGGGAGGACCACCUUCCAAGGCUAAAUACUACCUAGCGACCGAUAGUGAACCAGUACCGUGAGGGAAAGGUGAAAAGCACCGCGGGAGCGGAGUGAAAUAGAACCUGAAACCGUGUGCCUACAAUCAGUCGAAGCCCAGUGUCGCAAGACCGGGUGACGGCGUGCCUUUUGUAGAAUGAACCGGCGAGUUAGGAUUUCGUGCGAGGUUAAGGCUGAUGCCGGAGCCGCAGCGAAAGCGCGUCUGAAAAGGGCGAAAGUACGAGGUCCUAGACCCGAAACCGAGUGAUCUAUCCCUGGACAGGAUGAAGUGGCGGUAACACGCUAUGGAGGUCCGAACCCACGCAUGUUGAAAAAUGCGGGGAUGAUCUGGGGAUAGCGGUGAAAUUCCAAUCGAACUCGGAGAUAGCUGGUUCUCCCCGAAAUAGCUUUAGGGCUAGCGUUAGAGUAAGAGAGCAGGAGGUAGAGCACUGAUUCAGCUAGGGGCCGUCACAGGUUACCGAACUUAGUCAAACUCCGAAUGCCUGCUUAUCAUCUCUAGCAGUCAGACUACGAGUGCUAAGAUCCGUGGUCAAAAGGGAAACAGCCCAGACCCUCAGCUAAGGCCCCCAAGUUCCAGUUAAGUGGGAAACGAUGUGGCGGUGCACAGACAACCAGGAUGUUGGCUUAGAAGCAGCCACCAUUUAAAGAGUGCGUAAUAGCUCACUGGUCGAGUGACGCUGCGCGGAAAAUGUAACGGGGCUAAACUGGACGCCGAAGCUAGGGCUUGUCGCAAGACAGGGGUAGGGGAGCGUUCCUAGAGGAUGGAAGUCAGACCGUAAGGACUGGUGGACUUCUAGGAAGUGAGAAUGCCGGUAUAAGUAGCGAAAAGACAAGUGAGAAUCUUGUCCACCGUAAGCCUAAGGUUUCCUGGGGAAGGCUCGUCCGCCCAGGGUUAGUCGGGACCUAAGCCGAGGCCGAAAGGCGUAGGCGACGGACAACUGGUGGAAAUUCCAGUACCACCGCGUAGCCGUUUGAGCAAUGGCGUGACGCAGGAGGAUAGGGAGAGCGGCCGAUUGGAUGGCCGUGUAAGCAGCAAGACUAAGAGACAGGCAAAUCCGUUUCUUGUUAGGUCAAGCUGUGAUGCCGAGCGAAUCAAGUAGCGAAGUCCCUGAUUUCACACUGCCAAGAAAAGCGUCUAGCGAGGAGACCGGUGCCCGUACCGCAAACCGACACAGGUAGGCGAGGAGAGAAUCCUCAGGUGCGCGGGAGAACUCUCGUUAAGGAACUCGGCAAAAUGGCCCCGUAACUUCGGGAGAAGGGGCGCUCUGGUAGGGUGAAAGCCUGAGAGAGCCGCAGUGAAAAGGCCCAAGCGACUGUUUAGCAAAAACACAGGUCUCUGCUAAGCCGUAAGGCGACGUAUAGGGGCUGACGCCUGCCCGGUGCUGGAAGGUUAAGGGGAGAGGUUAGCGCAAGCGAAGCUUUGAACCGAAGCCCCAGUAAACGGCGGCCGUAACUGACCCGCACGAAUGGCGUAACGACUUGGGCGCUGUCUCAACGAGAGACCCGGUGAAAUUGUAAUACCUGUGAAGAUGCAGGUUACCCGCGGCUAGACGGAAAGACCCCAUGGAGCUUGACUGUAGCUUGAUAUGGAAGAUGGGUACACCCUGUACAGGAUAGGUGGGAGGCUAGGAGACUAGGGCGCAAGCCUUGGUGGAGCCGACGUUGGGAUACCACCCUGGAGGUAUUGAUCUUCUAACUUAGCACCGUAAUCCGGUGUGAGGACAGUGUCAGGCGGGCAGUUUGACUGGGGCGGUCGCCUCCUAAAGAGUAACGGAGGCGCCCAAGGGUUCCCUCAGCGCGGUUGGAAAUCGCGCUCUGAGUGCAAAGGCAUAAGGGAGCUUGACUGCGAGACCUACAAGUCGAGCAGGGACGAAAGUCGGGCUUAGUGAUCCGGUGGUUCCGCGUGGAAGGGCCAUCGCUCAACGGAUAAAAGCUACCCUGGGGAUAACAGGCUUAUCUCCCCCAAGAGUCCACAUCGACGGGGAGGUUUGGCACCUCGANNNAGUUCGGUCCCUAUCCGUCGCGGGCGUAGGAAAUUUGAGAGGAUCUGCUCCUAGUACGAGAGGACCAGAGUGGACUUACCGCUGGUGUACCAGUUGUCUCGCCAGAGGCAUCGCUGGGUAGCUAUGUAGGGAAGGGAUAAACGCUGAAAGCAUCUAAGUGUGAAACCCACCUCAAGAUGAGAUUUCCCAUAACUAUAUGUUAGUAAGAGCCCUGAGAGAAGAUCAGGUAGAUAGGUUAGGAGUGGAAGUUGUGUGAGCAAUGGAGCGGACUAAUACUAAUAGCUCGAGGACUUAUCCAAA
rnacentral:rRNA from 1 species